rnacentral:rRNA from 1 species
GUGGGGAAUCUUCCGCAAUGGACGAAAGUCUGACGGAGCGACGCCGCGUGAGUGAAGAAGGCCUUCGGGUCGUAAAGCUCUGUCAUCAGGGACGAACGGCCGGUGGAGUGGAAAGCCACCGGAUUGACGGUACCUGAGAAGGAAGCCACGGCUAACUACGUGCCAGCAGCCGCGGUAAUACGUAGGUGGCAAGCGUUGUCCGGAAUUAUUGGGCGUAAAGCGCGCGCAGGUGGGAUCUUAAGUCCAUUUUUAAAGUUCGGAGCUCAACUCCGUGAUGGGAUGGAAACUGGGAUUCUUGAGUACCGGAGAGGAAAGCGGAAUUCCCCGUGUAGCGGUGAAAUGCGUAGAUAUGGGGAGGAACACCAGUGGCGAAGGCGGCUUUCUGGACGGUGUCUGACACUGAGGCGCGAAAGCUAGGGGAGCGAACGGGAUUAGAAACCCCGGUAGUCC